UAUUUACUAAGACAGGUGUUUGGUGAUGAAUUUACAGUUUAUAUGAGUUUAUGCAAGAUUGUUUUUAAAUUACUGACUUCACUAUUCAAUAUGAUGGGACAAUCCUGGCAAUUUCACAUGCAAGUGAACAGCCAUAGUUGCCAACUAUCUUCCAAAAGUUGGGAGCUUGCCCCAAGACAUGUCCUGGGAAAUCGGCAGUUGCAGGUGUCAGGUACAUCUUUAACGUGGGGCAAAAGGUGCAUCACCCCGGGCCAGUAAUUCCUGGGGGGCCCAAAGCUGCUGCCUCUUGAGCCCAGUGGUUGGCAGGGUGCCUGUGUCCGGCCCAAAAUUAAGGAAGCGCCAGGUCUAUUCGUUCAGACCUUUGUUUUAUUGCUCCCUCACAAAGCGUGCCAGCUAUUGAUGCUGAGCCCCUUGAUAUGGUGUCACUGAAGCUGUGCAUAUUGCAAUGAAGCACUGAAUCAGAGAUAAACAAAAAAGAGAGAGAGAGUGGAAGAAAGGGUGAGGUAAAUCAAAAAGGGGAAAA